rnacentral:rRNA from 1 species
UACGGGGGGAGCAAGCGUUGUUCGGAUUUACUGGGCGUAAAGGGCGCGUAGGCGGCCACUGCAAGUCAGUUGUGAAAUCUCCGGGCUUAACCCGGAAAGGUCAACUGAUACUGCAGGGCUAGAGUGCAGAAGGGGCAACUGGAAUUCUCGGUGUAGCGGUGAAAUGCGUAGAUAUCGAGAGGAACACCUGCGGCGAAGGCGGGUUGCUGGGCUGACACUGACGCUGAGGCGCGAAAGCCAGGGGAGCGAACGG